AGCUUGCUUUGAUACAUGGCGACCGGCGCACGGGUGAGUAACACGUAUCCACACCUGCCGACAACACUGGGAUAGCCUUUCUAAAGAAAGAUUAAUACCGGAUGGCAUAGUUUUCCCGCAUGGGAUAAUUAUUAAAGAAUUUCGGUUGUCUAUGGGGAUGCGUUCCAUUAGGCAGUUGGCGGGGUACCGGCCCACCAAACCAACGAUGGAUAGGGGUUCUGAGAGGAAGGUCCCCCACAUUGGAACUGACACCCCGCCCCAACUCCUACGGGAGGCAGCAGUGAGGCAUAUUGGUCAAUGUACGAAAGUCUGAACCAGCCUAGUAGCGUGAAGGAUGACUGCCCUAUGGGUUGUAAACUUCUUUUAUACCAGGAAUAAAGUGAGCCACGUGUGGCUUUUUGUAUGUAACGUAUGAAUAAGGAUUUACUAACUCCUUGCCUCCAGCCGGGGGUAAUACCGAGGAUCCGAGCGUUAUCCGGAUUUUAUUGGGUUUAAAAGGAAGCGUAGGCGGGGGUUGUUAAGUCAGUUGUGAAAGUUUGCGGCUCAACCGUAAAAAUUGCAGUUGAUACUGGCGACCUUGAGUGCAACAGAGGUAGGCGGAAUUCGUGGUGAAGCGGUGAAAUGCUUAGAUAUCACGAAGAACUCCGAUUGCGAAGGCAGCUUACUGGAUUGUAACUGACGCUGAUGCUCGAAAGUGUGGGUAUCAAACAGGAUUAGAUACCCUGGUAGUCCACACAGUAAACGAUGAAUACUCGCUGUUGGCGAUAUACAGUCAGCGGCCAAGCGAAAGCAUUAAGUAUUCCACCUGGGGAGUACGCCGGCAACGGUGAAACUCAAAGGAAUUGACGGGGGCCCGCACAAGCGGAGGAACAUGUGGUUUAAUUCGAUGAUACGCGAGGAACCUUACCCGGGCUUAAAUUGCAACUGACUGAACCGGAAACGGUUCUUUCUUCGGACAGUUGUGAAGGUGCUGCAUGGUUGUCGUCAGCUCGUGCCGUGAGGUGUCGGCUUAAGUGCCAUAACGAGCGCAACCCUUACGGGUAGUUACCAUCAGGUUAUGCUGGGGACUCUACCCGGACUGCCGUCGUAAGAUGUGAGGAAGGUGGGGAUGACGUCAAAUCAGCACGGCCCUUACGUCCGGGGCUACACACGUGUUACAAUGGGGGGUACAGAAGGCAGCUACACGGCGACGUGGUGCUAAUCCCGAAAGCCUCUCUCAGUUCGGAUUGGAGUCUGCAACCCGACUCCAUGAAGCUGGAUUCGCUAGUAAUCGCGCAUCAGCCACGGCGCGGUGAAUACGUUCCCGGGCCUUGUACACACCGCCCGUCAAGCCAUGAAAGCCGGGGGUACCUGAAGUACGUAACCGCGAGGAGCGUCCUAGGGUA
rnacentral:rRNA from 1 species